rnacentral:rRNA from 1 species
UACGAAGGGGGCUAGCGUUGCUCGGAUUUACUGGGCGUAAAGCGCACGUAGGCGGACAUUUAAGUCAGGGGGUGAAAUCCCAGAGCUCAACUCUGGAACUGCCUUUGAUACUGGGUGUCUUUGAGUAUGGAAGAGGUGAGUGGAAUUCCGAGUGUAGAGGUGAAAAUUCGUAGAUAUUCGGAGGAACACCAGUGGCGAAGGCGGCUCACUGGUCC